AGCCGCUGAUGACAUACUAAACAUUUUUCUGACACCUCGUAUGAGAGCUAAGCUCCUGAUUCUAAAUCCAAUCUGAGGCUU